rnacentral:lncRNA from 1 species
CUUUGUCACAGGAGCAUGCUGACAUGGACAUAUUCACUGGAGAGGCCAUCGAUGUUGUCAUCGGAUCCUCAAGAGAUGACGGAAAGGCCUCCUCCGGAUCUUCAUAGGCAACCGUGUCAUGCCGGAAGACGAGAAAAAAAAAGAUUGAAAGAAGUGCGCAGGCAAUUGGUGCAGAAACUCGCUGACGCGCCAAGAAGGUAGUGCUACUGGUACUGAUUGCUA